AUCCUUUUGUAGUUCAUAAGUGUGAUGAUUGGGUGUUCACGCCAUUGUGUGACAUGUGCCACCCUUAAACCUUGUUAUGACACCAGCACAUUACCCGUCUGACG
rnacentral:snoRNA from 1 species